GACGAACGCUGGCGGCGUGCCUAAUACAUGCAAGUCGAACGCACUCUCGUUUAGAUUGAAGGAGCUUGCUCCUGAUUGAUAAACAUUUGAGUGAGUGGCGGACGGGUGAGUAACACGUGGGUAACCUGCCCUAAAGUGGGGGAUAACAUUUGGAAACAGAUGCUAAUACCGCAUAAAACCUAACACCGCAUGGUGUAGGGUUGAAAGAUGGUUUCGGCUAUCACUUUAGGAUGGACCCGCGGUGCAUUAGUUAGUUGGUGAGGUAAAGGCUCACCAAGACCGUGAUGCAUAGCCGACCUGAGAGGGCAAUCGGCCACACUGGGACUGAGACACGGCCCAGACUCCUACGGGAGGCAGCAGUAGGG
rnacentral:rRNA from 1 species